rnacentral:rRNA from 1 species
AGUCGAACGAUGAUCCCAGCUUGCUGGGGGAUUAGUGGCGAACGGGUGAGUAACACGUGAGUAACCUGCCCUUGACUCUGGGAUAAGCCUGGGAAACUGGGUCUAAUACCGGAUAUGACCGUCUGACGCAUGUCAGGUGGUGGAAAGCUUUUGUGGUUUUGGAUGGACUCGCGGCCUAUCAGCUUGUUGGUGGGGUAAUGGCCUACCAAGGCGACGACGGGUAGCCGGCCUGAGAGGGUGACCGGCCACACUGGGACUGAGACACGGCCCAGACUCCUACGGGAGGCAGCAGUGGGGAAUAUUGCACAAUGGGCGCAAGCCUGAUGCAGCGACGCCGCGUGAGGGAUGACGGCCUUCGGGUUGUAAACCUCUUUCAGUAGGGAAGAAGCGAAAGUGACGGUACCUGCAGAAGAAGCGCCGGCUAACUACGUGCCAGCAGCCGCGGUAAUACGUAGGGCGCAAGCGUUAUCCGGAAUUAUUGGGCGUAAAGAGCUCGUAGGCGGUUUGUCGCGUCUGCUGUGAAAGACCGGGGCUCAACUCCGGUUCUGCAGUGGGUACGGGCAGACUAGAGUGAUGUAGGGGAGACUGGAAUUCCUGGUGUAGCGGUGAAAUGCGCAGAUAUCAGGAGGAACACCGAUGGCGAAGGCAGGUCUCUGGGCAUUAACUGACGCUGAGGAGCGAAAGCAUGGGGAGCGAACAGGAUUAGAUACCCUGGUAGUCCAUGCCGUAAACGUUGGGCACUAGGUGUGGGGGACAUUCCACGUUUUCCGCGCCGUAGCUAACGCAUUAAGUGCCCCGCCUGGG